CUCUUCCAUUUAUGUGCCAAACUAUUGAUCCGUGCCGCUUCUGUGCACCCCCCCAAACACAAGAUCAUAAAAGUAGUUAUAGGUCCAGAAAUGAUUCUCAGCCUAAAUGAACCCCCUUUUGGGAUGCUAUCUAUAUUGGGGGGGGGGGAGCGGGCUCACAAAACAACUCUAAAGCAAGUCCUGUAGAAAACUGGUGAGCUCCGGCGAUUAAGGGUUAGGUGGACUGUCACAGGUCCAAAGUUCAAGAGGCACCGAAACCCGACUGGACUAAACACGUGGUUCGACCCAGCUGCGACAGCGCAGGGAAACCGAUCGGGAGGGGGCAUUCUCCAGCGAGACGGCCGAAGCCAGAGCCUUCGUCCUCUGACUCAUCCGGAGAUAAGUAACCACAGGGGCCGCAAGUUCCAAGCCAGCCGCUCCUGGAUUUGGUUUGCAAGGGAAAAUGUGUUGUUUCGGCUGCAGGGUCACUCACAGGAGUUCCCAUCGUGGCGCAAUGGUUAACGAAUCCGACUAGGAACCAUGAGGUUGCAGGCAUAACCCAUUUACUGUGAAAGCAAGAAAACAAGGACUACACUGUGAAGCCAUCAUACUGAACUAGAGAAACCAGUAGAAGUUACAGGCAAUACGAGUUUAUCAUAUGAAAGAAAAGGAAAGGCAUGACCAACUGGCAACUAAAUAAACAUGUCAAAACACCCUGCUCACCCCAGUGACACAGCAAGAGCCAAACCCAGAGAAGGAAAAUGUUUAUAAAAACCCACAGACUAAGAAUAGAAUAAGACUGGUCCUCAAAGCUUCAAGGUAUUAAGAAAAAUUUGUGUAAGCGAUAUUGAGAAAUAGUUCCCAUUACAAAGGAAAAUGUUCUUUGCUUCUCACUUUGGACAUAUGGGCUGAAACAAAAUGGUAUGAGAACAGAACACUACAGAAAAUAAGAAUAUACUAUAUAAAUCCAUAUGUAGUACAGUACUUGGCAAAUAGAAGGCACAAUAAAUAUUUAUUUAAUGACUAAAUGAAUAGACUUCCCACCUUUUUUCCCCAUGCUAUGUCCUCGGAAGGCAUGAGUCUCAAGUCCUUUAACUUAAAUAAAAAGUAACUUCCUGGAAUUAAAAAUUUAUGGCUGAAGACCUCAACAAAGAAAAAGAAGA